CCUACGGGCGGCAGCAGUGGGGAAUAUUCCGCAAUGGGCGAAAGCCUGACGCAGCGACGCCGCGUGAGGGAUGAAGGUCUUCGGAUCGUAAACCUCUGUCAGUAGGGAAGAACGGUCACUGUGCUAACCAGCAGUGAAUUGACGGUACCUGCACAGGAAGCACCGGCUAACUCCGUGCCAGCAGCCGCGGUAAUACGGAGGGUGCGAGCGUUAAUCGGAAUUAUUGGGCGUAAAGCGCUCGUAGGCGGUUUGUCAAGUCUAGGGUGAAAUCCCCGGGCUCAAACUGGGAGGUGCCUUUGAAACUGGCAAACUGGAGUGUAGGAGAGGAGAGUGGAAUUCCAGGUGUAGGAGUGAA
rnacentral:rRNA from 1 species